UUGGGGCUGGGGCCUCCAAGUUAAAGAAACUGAAAGCUGCUUUAGACUGUUCUACUUCCCACCUGGAUGAGCUCCACUCUGACCCCCAUGCUGUCGCACGUGCUUUAAAGUCCUGUUUACGGGAACUGCCUGAACCUUUGAUGACUUUUAAUCUGUAUGAAGAAUGGACACAAGUUGCAAGCAUGCAGGAUCAAGACAAAAAACUUGAGGAUUUAUGGAGAACAUGCCAAAAGUUGCCACCACAAAAUUUUGUUAACUUUAGGUAUUUAAUCAAGUUCCUUGCAAAGCUUGCUCAGACCAGCAACGUCAAUAAAAUGACUCCCAGCAACAUUGUGAUUGUGUUAGGCCCGAACUUAUUAUGGGCCAAAACUGAGGGGUAAGUGACCUGUCCCCGUAUCACGGUAUUUCAGUCUCACUGCGUGGGAACAGACCCCCGUUCCGGGGUAAGAUGCACUUCCAGAGUUGCGCUCCUGAACCUGGUCAUUCCACGUAGCCGACAUUCUCGAAACACUGCCAUGAGCUGGGUCCCAUCCCAGACGCUGUCCACACAGUUCUCAGAGGGCCCCGCCCUUGGGCAUUCAGACAGAUGAAUGGCCGUGGCACCGUGACAAAGCUCAUGUCUGUGCACAUGGGGGUGCUGCCGCAGACCUUACAAAGUACGACGGCCACGGUGCUUACUGAAGGAACACAGCUCAGGCUGCGGAGUGCAGGGAGAGCCCUGCAGGGGAAAAGGCACUUGGGUUGUACUUGGGUGAAUGAAUAGCUCCAUGCAGGUGUGACCCGAAUGAGCAAAAGUAUUGUGCGCGUGAAAGGGCUUGGUCGCUAGUUUGGGGGUGGGGUGCUGUCACGUGGUCUUGUAGAACCUCAGCACAGGAUCCAGGGGACUGUGACCGAGAUUAUGAAGCCACAGCCAGCUUCUGAGGGGCCUCAUAUGUCGCAGCAUCAAGGUUUCUAAGCAGAAGAAUGAGUUGAUCAAACGGCAUUUAAAAAAAGAAUUUUGGGGGUGCCUGGGUGGCUCAGUAGGUUAAGCAUCUGCCUUCGGCU